CUCCAAAAAUUCGAAUAUGCU
rnacentral:piRNA from 1 species